rnacentral:rRNA from 1 species
GAUGAACGCUGGCGGCGUGCCUAAUACAUGCAAGUCGAGCGAACAGACGAGGAGCUUGCUCCUCUGACGUUAGCGGCGGACGGGUGAGUAACACGUGGAUAACCUACCUAUAAGACUGGGAUAACUUCGGGAAACCGGAGCUAAUACCGGAUAAUAUAUUGAACCGCAUGGUUCAAUAGUGAAAGACGGUUUUGCUGUCACUUAUAGAUGGAUCCGCGCCGCAUUAGCUAGUUGGUAAGGUAACGGCUUACCAAGGCAACGAUGGGUAGCCGACCUGAGAGGGUGAUCGGCCACACUGGAACUGAGACACGGUCCAGACUCCGACGGGAGGAAGCAGUAGGGAAUCUUCCGCAAUGGGGGAAAGCCUGACGGAGCAACGCCGCGUGAGUGAUGAAGGUCUUCGGAUCGUAAAACUCUGUUAGUAGGGAAGAACAAAUGUGUAAGUAACUAUGCACGUCUUGACGGUACCUAAUCAGAAAGCCACGGCUAACUACGUG